rnacentral:tRNA from 3 species
GCCGAGGUGGCGAAACUGGUAGACGCGCCAGACUCAAAAUCUGGUUUCAGCAAUGAAGUGUCGGUUCGAGUCCGACCCUCGGUACCA